rnacentral:misc_RNA from 1 species
UUAAGUUCAGCGGGUAUCCCUACCUGAUCCGAGGUCAACCAUAGAAAGUUUGGGGGUUGCUGGCCAGCGGCCACCGGGGCCCAACAGCGAGAAGAAUUACUACGCUGAGGGACACGAUGGCGCCGCCACUGUUUUUGAGGCCCGCCGUUGCCGGCGCGGCCCAAGACAAGCAGAGCUUGAGGGUUGAAAUGACGCUCGAA